ACUCAUCACAGCAGAAUUCUGAUGAGGCUGGGCUCUUUCGCAGCUGGCAUUUGAUGAGAAAAGGGAAUUGAAAUGUAGGUGAUUGAUUUGGACCUGGAGAAGCUGAUUGGAUGUCACCCUGUUCUUCCCGACAAUGGGGACCGGUCUGUGCAAAGGGGACUUCCUGUGACCCCUGCGGGUCCACCGGAAGUUCUGAUUUCUCCCCGUGGAAUAGGGGCGCGAAGGCUGCCCUGUCACACACGGCCCAAGAGAUUGAUUACCUGGGCUCUGGCAGCCUCUCUGGGACUCACUUGACAGGGGCACUCACUCUUUCUUGGAAGAUACUUCUUAACUGCGUGUGGGAUGACAACCAAUCUGAAGGGUGACCAUUG
rnacentral:lncRNA from 1 species